UACGUAGGGCGCAAGCGUUAUCCGGAAUUAUUGGGCGUAAAGAGCUCGUAGGCGGUUUGUCGCGUCUGCUGUGAAAACUGGGGGGCUCAACCCCCCAGCCUGCAGUGGGUACGGGCAGACUAGAGUGCGGUAGGGGGAGAUUGGAAUUCCUGGUGUAGCGGUGGAAUGCGCAGAUAUCAGGAGGAACACCGAUGGCGAAGGCAGAUCUCUGGGCCGUAACUGACGCUGAGGAGCGAAAGCAUGGGGAGCGAACAGG
rnacentral:rRNA from 1 species